rnacentral:lncRNA from 1 species
UUUUUUUUUUCUUUACUGGAUCAGUCCAGUCUGUCUGCUCCUACUGGCUCUGACUGGACAGGCGCCACCAUGCUAACCAAGUAGGUCCUUACCCAGGUGUGCUCCUUCCCCUCAGCCUCCAGUGGGCCUCGUUUCCAUUCCCAUUCUCUCACAGUCCUUAGAACCCAUUUUCUUCAGAUCCCAGGCCAGAAGACACCAAGAGUCUGUUUGCCUCUCUCUCCAGACUUCUCUGUCCCCACCAGGUGUCAUUUUGUCCACAUUGUCCCUAGACAGUUAUUAUAAGAUGGCAUCUCUUGCUGGAGAUGAUUGCUUAUACCUGUAAUUCAGGAACUCAGGGUCCGAGGCAAGAGGGUUGCCCAUGAGUUCAAGGCCAGCCUGCUGACAAAGUGAGACCCUAUCUCGAAUGAAUGAAUGAAUGAAUGAAAGAAAGAAAGAAAGAAAGAAAGAAAGAAAGAAAGAAAGAAAGAAAGAAAAGAAAAAGGAGGGAAAAAGAGAAAGCAGGAGAUGGGGGGAGGGGAGACGACAAAAAGCUGUUUUUCCUUUUGUGACUCCAGAGCUGGAAAGCCUUCCCAGCUCCAUAGUGUCUGUACCUGUCUUGUGCUUUGGGGUGUCCUUCAUGUGGCCAUUCUGCCUGCAUGCCAGCCUACAGCUCUCCCUGCUUACCCAGAAUGGGACUCCUGCCUUCUCCAUACUGUAAGCUACUUUCUGGACUCUAUAGAUUUGUCUAGAUGAUGUCGCAACCACAGAGAAAGAGCUGGACACUGUGGAAGUGCUGAAGGCAAUUCAGAAAGCCAAAGAUGUCAAGUCCAAACUGAGCAACACAGAAAAGAAGGCUGGUGAGGACUUCCGGCUCCCGCCUGCACCCUGCAUCAGACCCGGCGGCUCCCCUCCUGCAGCUCCCGCCUCAGCCUCCCUGCCUCAGCCGAUCCUCUCCAACCAAGGUAAUCACAAGCAGGUCUUGCUCCCAGUGGAGUUGCUCAGCUCUGCCUGGAUCGUAGGCAGGGCUGUGAGUGAGAGAAAUGCUGGCACCUGCUUCCUGCAGGCUCAGGCACGGGGAGGGUGGCACUUUUUGCAGGCUGGCUCCUUGGGUGGCACGUGGCAGGGAGGUGCCUGGCCUGAUUUCAGCACCGUUGUUUGCUUAGUGAGGACCCCCGUCCCUUAUGUCACGUCAGUUCCUAUAGGAUAUCGGGUGUUGGAGAGAACUAAGCAGACUCAGCUGUUGACUCAGAGGGAUCUAUUCCCCUGUGGCCAUCAUGGGCAGGUCAGCUUCUAGAAAGACAGGCCUUAUUUAGAGCCCUUGACCCCUGUAUACAGAGCUUUAGUGUUGUGAUGCCUCUGUGGCACUCAGGUAUGGCCAAACCCCAAAGUACUGCAUUUAUGGGACCAAGGUGGGCUGCCUGUCCCCAUGGACCUGUGGACGAACAGUCCUUUUCACCUGCCCAUUGUCUGCGAGAAUUUUCAAAGGGCUUUCACCUCUGAACCCAGGCAUCCUCGGAGAUGAGUGAGUGAACCAGGUGGCAUGAGCGUGGCUGCCGGCCUGGCCCCGACGGAAGAGGGGCAGGUAUGCCGUCCCAAGUGGAGCUGAGGCUCGGGACACAGGAAAGAACGCCACCCGCCCAGGCUCCUGGAGACGCAGAACUUGGUGUGAGGUCUUGGGAAACUAGUUUGGCCCUAGGUUUUAAGAGCCAGAAAUAUAUUUCUACUCCUUAAUCUGGUGACCCCACUGGAGGAAACUUCUCUAGAGAGGGCUAAGAUACUGAGGAAAGGGAAGUUCUCCCCACUAGCAGCACCAAACUGUGGUAUGCACACCAGAAGGGCAGUGAAAGGCAGCUACGUCCCAGAACCCUCUACAACAGUCCUGUGAGGGAGAGAGGACUGAGCUGCAAAAAACACAGCGCUUGGCUUAUGUUGCGGCAAAAGCCCAGAGCACCACAGCCUGAAGUCACAGCUGUGAUGUACAGAAGAGAAAUCAUGAAAGCAGAACGGUAGAGCUAGGUGACAGCACAUUUACCCAUUAGCUUUGUCAAACUUUUGACGAAAGUUUUGAUUUUUUUUUUU